rnacentral:sRNA from 1 species
UGCCAAGCGAUUGUAUGAUGCCAAUGAUC